UUGUACUCAAUAUACUUCCUAUUUGCAUACAUACAUACAUAUACACAUACAUAUGUGUAUGUGUAUAUGUAUGUAUGUAUGUAUGCAAAUGGGAAGUAAAUUGAGUACAA